rnacentral:sRNA from 1 species
AUACAUCUAGAUCCAUACCCCUAAACUCCCUAGAUGAAGGAUAGCUCUUAUAUGGGCUAUCCUCUUUUU